ACGACAUUUAGACAGUCGGUCUACCGAGCAAUACCCGCUCGGUGGAAAAUCUUCCAUUUGUCGU
rfam:Bombyx mori DNA, contig: Bm_scaf1326_contig45717, strain: p50T/Dazao, build 2, whole genome shotgun sequence.